ACAGGUACCUUACAGGCUUCCAGGGAGCUCUAUUCUAAAGAAUAAAAGGGAAAGAUCUUCAAAGUUUGACCCAGUAGUAAGAGAGAAUGCAGAGGUAUGUGAAAAGAUUUCAGAGAAGACAAGUGCUGCCAAUUAACAACACGUCAGCCUGUGGAGUCUCUACUCGGGUAUAAUUGCUCAACCAUGAGGGAUCUCUUUAGGACCAGGAAAACACAUUUUUUGACUCACCUGGCUUUCUCUCUGUAAACAGUGACUGCCCACAUGCCUACACCCAAUGAGCUGGUAAAAAAUCUAAGCCCCUGUUUAGGUGCUUUCACCUUCUGAUUACCAGGAGGAGACGGCACCAGGAGCAGGACUCUCAUUUGUUCCAAAAACCAAAUCGCACAUCCUAAACAUGGAGUUGAAAGAGCCAGUAGCAGCUGAAGAACUUGGAAAGAGAGCAGAGAGCCUUAAGCUUAAGAUGUUGUCUUUUUUCUCCUUCUGCAGCGCUGGUGGUCUUUGCCAGAUGUCAAGUGAUGUGUGAUGAUGUCAUUGCUUUAACAGGUUGUAAAAUGUGUGUGUGUACAAUUUUAUGUAUUAAGCAUUUUAGUUUAAAUUCACAUAUGUGAAAUUUUAAUAGGGGUAUUAUUAUUAUUCACAUAAACAAAAGCUCGUUGGGUCCUCAAUAAUUGUUCCAGUGUAAAGAGUACCUAAACCAAAAAGUUUAAGAAAUGUUGUUCUAAAGGGUGUUCCUCUCCUCUUCACAGUCUGUUGUGUAGCUCAUGUUGUUGCUAUACAAAUAUUUCAGAAGAUGUUAGUUGCAUUAAAGUGAAAUUUUUAGAUAGGU